AACGAACGCUGGCGGCAGGCCUAACACAUGCAAGUCGAGCGCCCGGAUUUAUCCGGGAGCGGCGCACGGGCGAGUAACACGUGGGAACAUGCCCUGAAGUACGGAACAACCGAGGGAAACUUUGGCUAAUACCGUAUACGCCCUGAGGGGGAAAGAUUUAUCGCUUCAGGAUUGGCCCGCGUUGGAUUAGCUAGUUGGUGCGGUAACGGCGCACCAAGGCGACGAUCCAUAGCUGAUCUGAGAGGAUGAUCAGCCACACUGGGACUGAGACACGGCCCAGACUCCUACGGGAGGCAGCAGUGGGGAAUAUUGGACAAUGGGCGCAAGCCUGAUCCAGCCAUGCCGCGUGAGUGAAGAAGGCCUUCGGGUUGUAAAGCUCUUUCAGCGGGGACGAUGAUGACGGUACCCGCAGAAGAAGCCCCGGCUAACUUCGUGCCAGCCGCCGCCGUAAAAC
rnacentral:rRNA from 1 species